rnacentral:lncRNA from 1 species
ACGCUUUCCAAGUAAAUCUACCGUCAUCAACUCCUGCAAAACAAAAACAAAAACAAAAAGAAAUAAAAUAUAUAUAAUUAACCACAUGAAACGUGAGACAUCAAAAAGUUAAAUAAGUUUAACCACAUGAAACGUGUACAAAUUAAAGUUCACACACUUAUUUUCUCCAUCUCACCCAUUAACACUUUUUCUCUUUUUGCAAUAAUUUAAAGUUCACACUUAUUUUCUCCAUCUAACCCCCUAACACUUUUUCUCUUUAUGCAAUAAUUUAAAGUUCACACACUUAUUUUCUCCAUCUCACCCCCCAACACUUUUUCUCUUUUACCAAUAAUUUCCAUAUAGAGUAACUUCCAUCAUGUGUCAUGCUGCUAGCAUGCUUUAAAUUAGUUUCAAAUCAAAAUAUUUUUUGAACCACCAAACUAGUUGAAUAAUAUUGUUAGCAGGCCG